rnacentral:rRNA from 1 species
UAACACGUGGAUAACCUGCCUCAAGGACUGGGGAGUAACAUUUGGUAAACAAGAUGCUAAUACCGAAUAAAACUUAAGUAUCGCAUGAUAUCAAGUUAAAAGGACGCUACGGCGUCACCUAGAGAUGGAUCCGCGGUGCAUUAGUUAGUUGGUGGGGUAAAGGCUUACCAAGACGAUGAUGCAUAGCCGAGUUGAGAGACUGAUCGGCCACAUUGGGACUGAGACACGGCCCAAACUCCUACGGAAGGCAGCAG